GCUGGUGUAGCUUAAUUAAAGCAUAACACUGAAGAUGUUAAGAUGAACCCUAAGAAGUUCCGCAAGCA
rnacentral:tRNA from 2 species